rnacentral:rRNA from 1 species
AACGAACGCUGGCGGCAGGCCUAACACAUGCAAGUCGAACGCGCGUAGCAAUACGCGAGUGGCGCACGGGUGAGUAACACGUGGGAACCAACCCAGAGGUUCGGAAUAACCGCGGGAAACUGCGGCUAAUACCGGAUAUCCCCCAAGGGGGAAAGAUUUAUCGCCUCUGGACGGGCCCGCGUCCGAUUAGCUAGUUGGUGAGGUAAUGGCUCACCAAGGCGACGAUCGGUAGCUGGUCUGAGAGGACGACCAGCCACACUGGAACUGAGACACGGUCCAGACUCCUACGGGAGGCAGCAGUGGGGAAUCUUGCGCAAUGGGCGAAAGCCUGACGCAGCGACGCCGCGUGGGGGA